UUGUGCGCUGCCCUAACCCCUUCUUGUUCGUGCUCUGCCCUAACUCCUCCAUCAAAAGCCCCAACGCGACGAGACACUCACUGCCCUAACUCCUCCUCCUUCAUUGUGCCUCGCCCUCACUCGUCGUGGAUGCUCCCCUUUGCCGCUGCUCCCUUACGUCGCUGCAAAACCCUAACCCCCUAACCCCUUCCGCGCCGCUCCCUUCCUACUUCUUGCUUCUUUGAUGUAUUGAAGGCAAUCUCGUUGAAGCAGAAGUGGGAUUUGAACGAUUUACGGGUUCUUAAUUCGGAAUCUGUUGGAAACAGGUUCAGGUUCGGAACGUUUCAGAACUUCGAGUUAAGAAUUGGGUUUGGGAAAAAGAGCAAUUUUUCUGUGAAAUUCCCUUAGCCACAGGCGCUGCAGAAGCAGAACGCGGUCACCGCCGAGGCGCCGCACAAGGCACAGAAGCAGAAGCACUUCGUCGCCCGCUCCUCCUCCUCCUAAAUCGCGCAGUCCCAGUGUCGUUGCGAACCAUCACAAGCUCAAAAAAGACGAAGAAGAAAAGAGAAGGUAACUGAUUUUUGUUAUUUAUCCCUUCAUUUAUUUAUCUAUUUUGUAGUUUGUGUUCGUGAUUUUUUUCCUGAAUUGGUUGAUAAUUUAGUGUGUAAUAUUGGUGAGAAAAUGUGAAACGAAGAGAAUUAUAUUGGUUGAGACUAGCAAUUUCUGAUUCGUGCUUGCUAGUUUUAACUUUAAUUUAUGAAGAAUGCACCGCACUGAAAAUUGGGUAUGUUGAAAAUGCGUGAUAAUUUUAGCAGUUAUUCGAUGUAUUUUAGCUGUUAUUCGAUGCUUGCUAGGUUUUUGGGGACCUCAAAUAUAAUUUCGAGAGGGUGAGCCUUUGUAUUUCUAUAGUUAACAUGAAUAUGAAGAUAUAAAUCUGAUAGCAGUUUGGAGAUUAUGUAUGUGUGCAGAUUAAAAUAGGGGGAAGAAAUUUUCAUGGACUUAAUUUAUGUAAAUUUUUUUCUCUUACUCUUAAUACUAUUUGUUCCUUUGUCAAUAAUGUUUAAUCCCUUCGUCCCUCCGCCUUCGUCCCUGCUGGUAAUGUAUUCAUUAUCAGUUCUAUUAGUUAAAAAAUAAUGUUAAAUAAUAUUGUUGAAGUAAAACAGACCUAGAAGAAAGUCACAUUGAAUAAGAUGUUGAGUCGAAUGCAAGGUGUUUGGUUUUGGUUUUGGUUGAUUGCCCUGUUAUGAAAUUAAAGCAACAUUUUGUGCUAUGUAUGUUGGUUUUGGUUGACUGCCCUGUUAUGAAAUUAGUGUAGCGAGUGGUAUGUGACUUGAGGGAAUAGAGGUCGUUUAAAUGUGUAUUGCAUUUGGAGGCAGGUUGAGAAAAAAAAAGGACAUGGCGUUCCUAGCAGCAGUUUUUAUUCUUCCUGCAGGCAGUCUUUUCAUUCUCUUAGGCCUUAUUGUUAACGCAAUGCAGAUUCAAGAAUCUGACGAAGCAAGAAAGAAGUUCUCAAAUGCUAAAUCUCUUUCUUCCUCCCAAUUUUUUGGAGAUCAGAACAAAGCUGCAGACGUGGCUGCUCAAGCUACUUUGUCAAAGUUUUCAGUAUGUAUUUUUUUCAUUA